rnacentral:rRNA from 1 species
GACGGACGCUGGCGGCGUGCUUAACACAUGCAAGUCGAACGGAAAGGCCCCAGCUUGCUGGGGUACUCGAGUGGCGAACGGGUGAGUAACACGUGGGUGAUCUGCCCUGCACUCUGGGAUAAGCCUGGGAAACUGGGUCUAAUACCGGAUAGGACCGUGCUUUAGUGUGUGCGGUGGAAAGUUUUUCGGUGCAGGAUGAGCCCGCGGCCUAUCAGCUUGUUGGUGGGGUAAUGGCCUACCAAGGCGGCGACGGGUAGCCGGCCUGAGAGGGUGUACGGCCACAUUGGGACUGAGACACGGCCCAGACUCCUACGGGAGGCAGCAGUGGGGAAUAUUGCACAAUGGGCGCAAGCCUGAUGCAGCGACGCCGCGUGGGGGAUGACGGCCUUCGGGUGGUAAACCCCUUUCGGCAGGGACGAAGCUUUUGUGACGGUACCUGCAUAAGAAGCACCGGCUAACUACGU